rnacentral:rRNA from 1 species
CGGUGGAGCAUGUGGUUUAAUUCGAUGAUACGCGAGGAACCUUACCUGGGCUCAAAUGUAUGUUGACGUAUUCUGAAAGGGAUACUUCUUCGGACAAUAUACAAGGUGCUGCAUGGUUGUCGUCAGCUCGUGCCGUGAGGUGUCGGGUUAAGUCCCAUAACGAGCGCAACCCCUAUCAUUAGUUGCCAUCAGGUCAAGCUGGGGACUCUAAUGAAACUGCCUACGCAAGUAGUGAGGAAGGUGGGGAUGACGUCAAAUCAGCACGGCCCUUACGUCCAGGGCUACACACGUGCUACAAUGGCCGGUACAAAGGGCAGCUACCUGGUGACAGGAUGCUAAUCUCAAAAGCCGGUCUCAGUUCGGAUCGGAGUCUGCAACCCGACUCCGUGAAGUUGGAUUCGCUAGUAAUCGCGCAUCAGCCAUGGCGCGGUGAAUACGUUCCCGGGCCUU